GAUGAAGAACGUAGCGAAAUGCGAUAAGUAAUGUGAAUUGCAGAAUUCAGUGAAUCAUCGAAUCUUUGAACGCACAUUGCGCCCCCUGGUAUUCCGGGGGGCAUGCCUGUUCGAGCGUCAUUUCACCACUCAAGCCUCGCUUGGUAUUGGGCAACGCGGUCCGCCGCGUGCCUCAAAUCGACCGGCUGGGUCUUCUGUCCCCUAAGCGUUGUGGAAACUAUUCGCUAAAGGGUGUUCGGGAGGCUACGCCGUAAAACAACCCCAUUCCUAAGGUUGACCUCGGAUCAGGUAGGGAUACCCGCUGAACUUAAGCAUAUCAAUAAGCGGAGGA
rnacentral:misc_RNA from 1 species